rnacentral:sRNA from 1 species
AGCGUGGGCGCGUGUGUGUGGGUUCAGGAUGAAUGUGAGGUCUCGUUUUAUUCAUACUAAUUCUUAUUGUCAAAUUUUCAAUCGCUCAGUGCUACAACAACCGUGGAGUCAUAUAAGAUCUUAAAUGAAUUGGUUCGCCGUCUGCGGUUUGAUCACCUUGGCCUUCACCUUGUCCACGCAGCAAGAAGAUUGCACACUAUAUGAAACGUUUUUCGAGGAUGGAUAUUCAUACAAUCCGGAGCCCUGUACACAAUGUACCUGCACCGAAGGGGAGUUCCAAUGUGUGUCAACAUCGUGUGCCACGCCCAGGUGUAAAGGCAAGGUGGAGCCUGUCGUAAGGAAAGGCAAAUGCUGUGCAACCUGUCCG